UACGUAGGGGGCAAGCGUUGUUCGGAAUUACUGGGCGUAAAGGGCGCGUAGGCGGCACGGCAAGUCGGAAGUGAAAUGCCUGGGCUCAACCGAGGAACUGCUUUCGAGACUGCCGAGCUAGAGUGCGGAAGUGGCAUCUGGAAUUCCCAGUGUAGCGGUGAAAUGCGUAGAUAUCGAGAGGAACACCUGCGGCGAAGGCGGGUUACUGGGCCGACACUGACGCUGAGGCGCGAAAGCUAGGGGAGCGAACGGG
rnacentral:rRNA from 1 species